UUCAGAAUCAAAGGUAAAAGACAAGAUAUCUGUUUUGCGUUGCGUGAAGCUCACAAAAUCUACCUUCCAAGCUCGCUUCAUAAUGAGCAUCCACCUCGGUUCGCAGAUUCCCAAGCCUCUUGCAUAAUAAGGCCAGACGGCAAUCUUUUGCUUCAGGUUCAUCCAUUUAUCCCCCCAAGAAACAGCUCUUGCUAAACAACGGGAGACCAAAGAUCAGAACCAGAACUCGCCACCAUUCUCCUGCUCUUAACUGAAGAAAUCCAUCCAGACGUGUAUAAAAGAAGAAAAACCCCUUUCGAGAGGCUGCACAACAACCCAGAAGAAAUCCCUUAGAGAAAAGCUAUAUUCAACAUGGUCGAACCUUUAGAACCUCGCGCUGUGUGAAGACGUCAACGGAAAAUAGCCCUAUCCUUCCACAUCAUCAAUGAUCCAAGGAAAAAGCAGAUAGAAAACUACACAAGAGGUUUUGGGUUUUGGGGAUUCGGACAAAUGCAGGACAAAACUAGGGUUUGGGGGACAGCUACCAAGGGAGGUAAGGGAAAGCUCUCAAGACCGAGAGAGAGGAGCUCAUCGGACGGAUUUGCUCUUUUAUUUUCUCUUCUUUGUCACAGCACCAUUCAUGAGUUAAAAAAGGGAGAGGGAAAUUGGAGAAGACGAGAGAAAGAGAAAAAGAAGAAAAGGUUUCCUUGCAUGCACACUCUGGGAGGUUCCAACAAGCCAGAUCAAUUCCGUUUCAUAGCACUCGUCAAUGAUCCGUAGCCUUUAUUUACUUAAUUUUUGGUAGUUGAACUUUAAAUCUAGAGUCACUAUAAUUUAAAGUUGCCUGUUCAAUCUAGGAGUUUUUUAGCUACAAAACUAUGUAAUAACAAAAUUUUACGGUGUCAUGGAGCUGUGAAAUCUUAAAAAAGUCAAUUUGAAGUUAUGGAUCGAAUGGGGUAAACUUUUGAAAUUUCA